rnacentral:rRNA from 1 species
UACAGAGGGGGCAAGCGUUGUUCGGAAUUACUGGGCGUAAAGGGCGCGUAGGCGGCCUGUUAAGUCGAACGUGAAAUCCCUGGGCUCAACCCAGGAACUGCGUCCGAUACUGGCAGGCUUGAAUUCGGGAGAGGGAUGCGGAAUUCCAGGUGUAGCGGUGAAAUGCGUAGAUAUCGGGAGGAACACCUGUGGCGAAGGCGGCCACCUGGUUGGAUACUGACGCUGAGACGCGAAAGCGUGGGGAGCAAACAGG